rnacentral:rRNA from 1 species
AACGAACGCUGGCGGCAUGCCUAACACAUGCAAGUCGAACGAGACCUUCGGGUCUAGUGGCGCACGGGUGCGUAACGCGUGGGAAUCUACCCUCAGGUUCGGAAUAACUCAGAGAAAUUUGAGCUAAUACCGGAUGAUGACGUAAGUCCAAAGAUUUAUCGCCUGAGGAUGAGCCCGCGUAGGAUUAGGUAGUUGGUGAGGUAAAGGCUCACCAAGCCGACGAUCCUUAGCUGGUCUGAGAGGAUGAUCAGCCACACUGGGACUGAGACACGGCCCAGACUCUUACGGGAAGCAGCAGUGGGGAAUAUUGGACAAUGGGCGAAAGCCUGAUCCAGCAAUGCCGCGUGAGUGAUGAAGGCCUUAGGGUUGUAAAGCUCUUUUACCCGGGAUGAUAAUGACAGUACCGGGAGAAUAAGCUCCGGCUAACUCCGUG